UUCUGGUUGAUCCUGCCGAAGGCUACUGCUAUUGGAGUUCGAUUAAGCCAUGCGAGUCUAAGGGAUCUUCGGAUCCCUGGCGUAAUGCUCAGUAACACGUGGAUAAUCUACCCUCAGGUGGGGCAUAAACCCGGGAAACUGGGGCCAAUUCCCCAUAAAUACAGAUGGCUGGAAUGCUUCUGUAUUCAAAGCUCCGGCGCCUGAGGAUGAGUCUGCGGCCUAUCAGGUUGUAGUCAGGGUCAUGACCUGACUAGCCAGCGACGGGUAUGGGGUGUGAGAGCACUUGCCCAGAGAUGGUUUCUGAGACACGAAACCAGGCCCUACGGGGCGCAGCAGGCGCGAAAACUUCGCAAUGCGGGAAACCGUGACGAGGGAACUCCAAGUGUCUAUGCAUUGCAUAGACUGUUUUUUAGCCUAAAUAGCUAUUAGAGUAAGGGGUGGGUAAGACCGGUGCCAGCCGCCGCGGUAACACCGGCACCCCGAGUGGUAGCCACUAUUAUUGGGCCUAAAGCGUUCGUAGCCGGUUUGGUAAAUUCUUGGGUAAAUCGUACCGCUUAACGGUGCGGAUUCCGGGGACACUACCAGACUUGAGACCGGGGGAGAUCAGAGGUACUUGCGGGGGAGCGGUGAAAUGUUGUAAUCCCGCAGGGACCACCAGUGGCGAAGGCGUCUGAUCAGAACGGCUCUGACGGUGAGGAACGAAACCCUGGGGCGCAAACGGGAUUAGAUACCCCGGUAGUCCAGGGCGUAAACGCUGCUGACUUG
rnacentral:rRNA from 1 species